GAGAACCUUGGAAUCUGGAAUGUCGCAGCCUAGAACCACAGUGAUGGCUCGAGUAGAUUUUAGGCCAGUGCUACCAGGAGCAAGAUUUUGCGCUCCUCCUCCAAAGAAGACCCAAUAGCAGGGAUUUAAGGUUCAGAAAGCUUUUAAAGUGGCUUUACCUCUUGCAAAGAUUGGACACAGAAGCUCAACUAGAAGUACCACCCAAGUCAAAGGACCAUGCUAUAACUGUGGAUAGACGGGACACUUUGCUAAGUUCGGCCCUCGUCCUAAGAAGAAGAAUGAUGUUUAUCCCGGUCGUGUGCAUCUCACCACAACAGAUGAGGUCACUGAUGGAGAACCAGUUAUGGCUGGUACAUUUCUCGUGAACAAUCACCCAGCAGUUGUAUUGUUUCAUUCUCGAUCUUCUCAUUCUUUUAUGAGUACUGAUUUUGCUCAUCAAUUUAACCAAUCAUCUGUGGCAGAACCUCCCAAGUUAUUGCGCCCACAUGCACCUGUCCUUGUCUCAAAGACCUCAGACGGCUAUGCAUGUGCACCAGAUAACUUAACAAGAUCUGUCCGAGUGCCCCAAGGACCUCGAAUAAACCACUUACAGCCAGGAUCAAAAUAUUAAGUAAACACAAAUCACACACCAACAUUUUGCAGCGGAAAUCUUAAUACCAAAUUUUACAAGUUACAUCAAGUUUACAUUGUUUAUCAGAGUGAUUACAGAAGUGGUUCAAAGAAAUAAACUUUGAAAUGUUAUAAAUUGUUUAUAAGUUUGAAAUAUAUGCUAGCUUAAGUGAACAUCCUCAAUAAGAAGUAUAGAAGAAGUACAUAGACUUAUAGAAGGCCGUGCCCACCGGCGCUUAACACCAAUCACAAUCAAAGUGACUCAUAACCUGCAGCAACAAUGGGUAAAACCCUAAGUACGCAAGUACUCAGCAAGACUUACCUGACUAAAGAAAAGGCUCUCAAGGAUAUGCUGGCUUGUCGGGAAUCAAGGUAAGGCUUAUCAAUUUCAAAGACUCAUUUUGCAGAAGAGCUUACUAGUAGUGAGUCCUUAUGCCAACAUUUUACUUCACAAGUUAAGUACUUUUCCUGAAUCUAGAUUUGCCUAAUCUAGAGUAUUCACUUGUCCUGGUCUAGCUUUCUUUUACCCAAAUUCUUAUUUUACUUAUAGACUACGAUGAGUGGUCAGUGAGUUGAGUCUCCAUGACCGAGGAGCAACGACGAUUCGAACCGAUUAUACCCAGGUGGGGAUCCCUAACCACAUGACAUAUGUAGCACUUAACCCUUGCAUAUGUCAACCGUUCCCACAGAUCCUCCACAACGUGAACCGGUCCGCGCUACCUGGGAGCACAGUACUCCUCCAUCCAACCUCUAGCCAGGAGGGAACACCCUACUUCCAGCAUCUCCCAAGCCCAGUGCGCGGUUGUCUUUUCACGUAUGGAAUAGCCAGGUCCAGGCUUACCGGAGCAUGUGGUUAGUUGCAAAGUCUCACCUCAUCAAGCCUACAUCAAAUGGUCCUUAAUUGACAUAGACGGGAAAACUUUCCCGCUCAACGUCUGGUCUCCAUUACAUAUUAUUUCCCAAAACUUGAUACCUGAGAGAGGUACCCUACUUGAAUGAUGAAAUCAUCGCGGCCACAAUGGCUUCAUCAUCACAAGUCAUUUUAUUUCACAAACUCCCAUAUCCCGUGUUACACAUCAUCUUUUAAAAAAACAAUCCUAAAUUAAUAAGCAGGGUUAAGCAUCACUAAAUUUUCAUAAAACGGGUAUUAGGGUUGUUUAAUCAAGGAAGGAAAUGCAUCAACGGUUUAGCACACAACUCCUAUCACCUAAUGCAUCAAACAAGGUGAUAAAAGAUUUUAAAACAGCCAGGAGGUGGCAAAUGCACCGGGGCUUGCCUGAAUAACACUAGGUUAGUGUUUGUUAGGCGACGUCCACUUGACGAUCAUCCUUGUCCUAGCACUUGAUCAGGCAGGUUCGUCCUUCAACAUCACCGUGUGGAUUAGCCCGUGCUUGGGGUCGACUUGGUUCGUCUUCCUUACCACGAGAUUAUUUAUCGUACCUCAUGAGAUACACGAUGCACAUGUAUGAGUACGAGUAUAAAUAGUACAAGAUAGAUAAUUUACGCUAAAAAGGAUGAAACACUUAUAACCUAUAACCAAGCAUAUUUUAUACAAUAUACCAAUUACAACUUUAGAACUAAAAGAUAUAUCGAUGUUACUUGAUCCUAAAUAUUUGAAGUAGCAAUCAACAUUCAUUCAAAUCAUGAAAUCGACCAACACAUAAAAUAUCAUACCUAGUUUAGAGAGCACACUAAACGACUUAUAACUUUAACUUCAAAAUUCUUGGACACCUAACACUUAUAAAAUUUGAUAGAAGAACUUUCAUAAACUUUCUAAACUAAUUUACUGGUUAACCUAUGUAUCAUAUAUAUAAAUAAAACUUCCCAUUUUUAACACCUACAGCCCCGCAACACUGAGACCUAUUGAGACCUCUUUUAUCCUACGACAUCGACCAAUUUACCAAAGCGACUCAGGCAAUCUAAUAAAUAUUAUACCUAGUCAAACCAUCCACCAAUCCACUAACACUAAUAACAAAUUUACUUACCCUGACUAAUUCGACGCGAUAGUCGCAAGCACGACGACGGUUUCCGGUUGACGUCAUUGAUCACACACGUCUAGCGAGCGAGGCAUACAGUUUCCAUUCUUGACCAAAUACCUGUGGGAUUCCUUUUUGUCGAGCUGGUGACGCAUGGCCAGCACAAGAGUGUCUUCACGGCUUGGGGCUUGGCAUAGACAAAGAUGACGAUUGACGACUUUUUCAAGCUGUUGUCGAGCACUUGGUGAAUAUCACGCUGCUAGCUUUGUCUUCACCCGAUUCUUGGGAUUUCUUGAUGACACACGGAACGACGACGAGAUUGUGUCUAGAGCAAGCUGGCGAGGACACAAAUCUAGUGAGGGCUCUGGCAACGACAAAGUCACGAGCAAGGAAGGACGGGUUCAAUAGCUCGACGGCAAACGCGAGCACGCGCGAAGCCCGAUGGACGAAGAGCGAGUGCGACGCAGUGACAACGAGCAGGCGCGCGAGCGUUAACGCUAGCCAGCGGCAAGCACGAGUGCUAAGGUACAACCGACAACACUCGGCGAGCACGCAGCGAAGCACACAACUGCGACGACAGUCGAAUCAGCAAUAGAGCGUUGGCGAACUCGACGAACACGACCACGGUCGCGUGCUGACACGGAUAGGACAACGACAUCUGACGAGUUGAAGCACCAGCGAGUAGCCGACGCGGGUGAGCAAAGCAGAUAGGACGCCGGGCGUCGUGGUGAGCUAGAAAAGGAUUUGGCACGGGAGCUCGACGCGUCGUGGCAAGCAGAGAACUUUGCGCACACAACAGAGGGGCUCGACACGCUCAGCAGGGGCGAACCAGGGGCGCGCGAGAUCCAGGAAGAGGGAGCAGAGGAUGGGCGCGCCGCCAUGAGAGAGGACUGGGGGGUCACGGCGCAGCGGGUUGGGCACCAUAAAGAGGGAAGAGCUCGGCGAGCUCGAAGGAAAUGGGGAGGAAGAGCAGGGAGGGCACGCGGAUGGCGUGACUGCCAGGGAGGAACGCCGUACAGGGCAGGGCGAGCUCACCAGGAAUCUCAGCGCCCAGGAGUCGGGCGCGUGGCCAUGGAAAGACAGAGAGAUGGGCUGGGCUCCGACAGGGGAAGUCGCCGCGAGGGAGCUCCAAGGCUUGAACGGCGACAAAUGGGGCAGGAAAAACACUGAGGAGAUUCAGGGAGAUGGGCAACCGAGCUAGGCUGCGACGGCCAUGGCGAGCUGGGCCAUGGAGAUAGCGGAGCAGGGGCCACGACGCAAAAGAGCGAGCAGAGGGCUUGGGCACCGGCAGAGAGGAGCACGCGGCUGAGCUGAAGCUAGCGCGCGCAGGGAGAUGGAAUCCGAGCGCAGGGCGAGCUCUGGGAAGGUCCGCGCGACGCAGGGGGAAAGUGCUGGAGGUGGAUGACGCGCAGGGGCGAGCUGUAGGCACCGAGCAGAGUGACGGCAGCAACUUGGGCGAGAUCCGUACUGGGCGUAGGGAGACACGCAAGGUCGACGAGGUUGGCCGGGGUGCCAUGGGCGAAGUGGAGGACGAGUAGAGAGGGUCGCGAUCUGAGCUGGGUGAGCUCCAUGGCCGAACAGAGAGCGAGGUACCAGGGAGAUUCGAUUUGGCCGAGCCGGCAGAGGAGGAACCCCGCGAGCUAGAGGAACGCGCGGUCGGAGCAGAGGAGCGUGCACCAGGGAGAACCGAGCGGGCGCUGGGCACGGACACCGGUGGGGAAAGCCGUCGCGCAGAGAAGGAAGAUGAGCGUGCGGCCAGCCUGGAGGAGCAGGGGUGCGACACAGGAGGAGGAAGAUGGCCGAGCGAGCACCUGAGACAGGCGACGGUGGCCAUGGGCAGGGAACUGGACAGGGCGCGUCCCGAGCAGAGGGAUGAGCGCACUGGAGCUCAGGAGCGACUGGUGAGCGCUGCAAUUGACAGAGAGAAGGGUUCGGCGAUUUGAAGAAGAUGGGGAGGAGAUCGGAUACGAAGGAGACGGGGACGGCGGGGUAAAAAAUCAGCGACGGGAUAGGAACGCUGACCAUGCGAGGCGGUGAGAAAAAUAUCAGGCAGAGAGGCGGCUGGGAGAUAAGGAUUUCCUGGGAUAUUUUCUAUUUUUUUCAGAUUUUUAAUUUCUUUAACCAAAAAAUCACAGAUAUUUGUGGUUCUGAUAUUUGGAUUAGAGAGAUAUUUAAAAGGUCGAACCAAAAUAAGUUUGACAGAAUAUUUGAUAAAGAUUUGAUGUGAUGACUAAUCUGGAGUCAGAUGAAUUUGUAUCUGUUAUUUAUACUUAAAGAUUUAGAUCGAGAUAAGAUACACACGAAUCGAACCAAACAAGAUUUGAUCUGGUUAAAAAUCAGAUGAACAUACGUCUAACAUCUGAACACAUGUUUCCACAGCCAGGUUAAUUUAUCACUGAAUCGAAGCUCAAUUUUUGGAUCCUCGUACGCGAUUUCACGGUUGACGAGGGGGAACCGAAUUAUUUGCACCAAAAACCUUAGUCGACGAGUUCAGAUAAAUUUGUUCGGGAUAAAAUCAUCUCAGUGGGUCGGGCUUCUGAAUUCGUGUUCGCCGAGCGAUGAACUUUAAAUAAUCACCGGACGCACCGAUUUUCGGAACGACUAUGUUCCGAACAUCACAAAAAAUUAGAAUGAGCCCGGAUAGAUAAAAACGAUGUCGAACUCGUGACAGACGAAAUAGAUGCGAUAUUAAAAUCGUGAUAGGCGAAGAUAAUUAGACCUUAGUAUCCGUCUUAUUCACUGAUAUCACGUGCUUAAAUCUAUACUUGUUGUCAAGCGAAAUAUAAACACCUAGGGUGUUACAGCCCUCCCCCCUUAAAAGAAUCUCGUCCCGGGAUUCGGAGUGAAAGACUUUUAACAGUGGAGAAGCAUGUAAUCCCAUGUCCAUAUCAGCGAUAAUCAUAAGACAGUCCGGAGCGAAGGCGAGUGUCUCAUGAUGUUGUUUCUCUAGUGGACAUAACAUGUAUCGCCUUAAGCUAACUUAGAGAUGUCCACCAAUAGAAAUGAUGUCUGCCAGAAGAACACAUAAGGUUCCAUGUGUGCAGUUUGCUUUUUCUGAUGACACUGUACUAUCUGAGUCGGUUGAGCGAGCGGUAGAUAUGCGAUUUUACCCAAACAGAAUCAGAUGCAACCUCUUGGGUAAAACACACAUAAAGAGGUUUACCAACAAGUGGAAAAGUUCAUAGCGCACGAGACAGGUGUGAAUGUCGAAUAACAUCACAGUUGACCCGUGGCUAGCCAGAAAAUCCAAGUCCCUGAAAAUGAUGGAGACUCGAAAAAUCACCAGUGAAGGGAUCUAUAGAUGCUGCCUUCGCAACCAAUCCAUUUUAUCGAGCACUAGGCAUGGCUUGACUUGAUCACUAAUGCUGGAAAAGCACACGUGAGGCAAUCGAGGCGUGACUAGAGCGAUGAUUAGGUGGUUACUGGCUGACUUAAUUUUGAUUCUUGUAAACACUUUCUUAAGAUGGGUUGAACCAAAGUGAGUUUAGACAACUCGAUAAAACAAUCUCUAAACUCAACCUUCGUUCAUUGGGCAGUUACAAGUUAGUAAAACCAAUUUGUUGAACUACUUUUGACAUUGAGCAAGUCCUCUCAGUACCAUCGGUAAGCCAACGGUCAAGAGUUCACAUUUGCUAACAAAAGGUCAUGCAUCUGGGUAUAAAUCCAUUUGGUCAAGUUGUUCAUCCAUUUCUCCAUGCGAGAUGGAUUAUCCAGUUGGUUAGGGAAUACAUGGAUUAAAUAAGAGAGCGAAUGAACAAACUCCUGCAUCUCAUCAGCAGGGGAAAGUCAAUCUCCGUUUUGGGAGCUAAUCAGUUGUCUCUCAACACUAAAAUGCUCCAAGGCUUCACCUUUACACAAAGGAUGUAAAGGGAACUUGUAUGAGUAGUCACUACCAAGGUCAAAAGAAAUAAGACCACACAUGAAAGUGGUAUGCCCUUUUGAUCCAACAGAGAUGAUAGAUGCUGCUUGAUCACUUCACAAACAACAUAGAAAUUGUUUCAAGGAAGAGGUCUACGGAAGAUAACAGAUUGAUAUAAUCUCAUAAUGGAUUAUGACUACUAACGGUGAUACUAGCGUGUGUCGAGUAGCGCAACCAUGUGCGCACACACAGAAGGCCCUCAGUUUCGUCACGUCACCACUGGAUUUAGUCAUAACACCAUUAUGAGACAUAACCAAUAAGAAAUCUCACGCGACACAAAUCAAUUGGGUAAGGGUGACAAUAUACAAAGAGAUACUCCACCUAUAAGGAUAGUUACAAGUAGAGAGCCAAAUAGAUCAUGGCCCGAUGAAAUGAAUAGGGCAUGGCCAUAACCUAAAUUUGAUGAAAGGAGUACGAUGGGAGGCUGAUAAUUUAGCCCGAAGCAUAUUUCUAUGCCCAUCAUAGAGAUUACAAGGUCAAGGAUUAGUAUCUAAUUAGAUACGGAGGAAAACAAUUAUAAGGUUAAGUUGGUAUGCCUUCGAUAGAUAUGGGAAAACCAAAGGCAUCAAUCUCAAGAAAAUGGUCGGACAUGUCUCUCCUGGGUUAAGUUGAUAAAGCAACAUGGCGAUCUUCAAGAACAGGCAAACUGGAAUAGAGACAUCAGCUUGCACAAAUCAAACAAGGGAAUGGUUUUAGAAGGAAACAUGACUCGAGAUUCUUGUUUCAAAUCCGGGUACACUUUAUGUCCAACGAAAAAGUUAUCUAAGCAUUUAUUUGCAUGUCUUGGGUCAUGGAGUGAUGACGAAAAAUUCAAAUUUUGGGUCAGGAUUCACUAAAUAAGAACAUGGCCUAGUUUUGGGUUUAGGCAAACAAGUCACCAAUAGUCUAUCGGCACAUCCAUACAAGUGCAAACAUGUAUAACACCUAAAUAGAUUACCUAAAGAACGGAGGACAACUAUUUCAUCGAAGUUCAUAAUACAACAUUACACCACAUUAUCUACAAUCACUGGUUUGCUCGAAUAAAGACGAGAGAAGCAUUUUGGGUGUAUAGGUGACAAACAUGAUGCAACAAUCAGGAUGCAUGCUCGUCUUAUUCGUUCUCACUGAUUUUGCCAACAUAAUGUGGCCAUAGCGUUCUAUAUUGGUGGCAUACGUUCUCUCUCGGUAUUUUGCUAAUCGUCAGCUACACAUACGUUUUCGAGGUUAGUGUAUGUUGGAGGCCUUCGUCUUCCGAAGGUCCUCAAAAACAUGAUUUAAGAAUGUUUCUGGAGUAUAAUACAUGAACAGGUACCUUCGGACUCGGAUCAGAACCACAGUGUGAAGAAGCACAAAGGUGAAGGUUGGCGCAGAGCCGAAGCUAUGCGCAGGGGAGCUUCGGCAUGAUAGCAGAAAAGGAAACCGACUUAAAGGGGAAAAGGCUAUUUAGACCUCAAUGGAUUACUACAGAGUCAUUAGCAAAUGUAAAGGGCAUGGGUGUAAUUUUACAUGGGCUGCGUCCCGUGCCUAUAAAUAGAUGAACAGUGCUCUCGUACUGUUCACGCUGACUUGGCAUUUGCUUUUGCGUCACGCUCGUACCUUUACUGUCUAUCAAGUCGAAGGUACCAAAUGUAAUUCAAUAUUGUUAUUAUUUUGUGAUGAUAAUAUAAUGGAGAUGAAUCGAUAAUACUAUAUGAUUGUUUAUGUUGUCUUUUGUAUUUUACAAGCCUCCUUCUUUUACCAUUAUACCUUCGAUGUACGAAGGUAUGUCUUUCAUGACCUUCGUCUGAAGAUCAUUAUAUCCUAAGGGAAAUAAUGUUUCGAAGGAUGAAGGGCGUUAAUAUUUAACAUUUUAUGUUGCCUUGUUCUUAAUUCAUAGCAUUUGAGAAGGCACAGACAUCCCCAUGGUCAUUUAAAAUCUCCUCAAAGGCUUCGGCCUCGCUGCUGAUCCACUCAAUUGGCCCCUCGAGAUCGCCCCGUACGAAGUUGUCUUCACUUGAAUAUGUGUCAACUUUGGCGAAGCUAGUUUUUAUCUUUUCCACACAUUCUACAGAUUUUUCAUAACAACUUUCUUUUGAAGAGCGAAGUUCUACAACUGUUUUCCCAAAAAAAUUUCCAAUAAUCACUGGCGUCUCGGUCAGCUUCGGCAAUAGCACACUUCAAUUUCGCUUCAGCCAGCUGUUUCCGAAGGUCAUCAAUUUCGCAUUUCUGGGCUUCAGCUUGAGCUUUGGAAGUAGCUUCGUCUUCUUUUAUUUUGUUCACCAAUGAGUUUAAAAUUUUAUCUUUUCAAGACCUUCUUUCCUUAGUUCAAUUACUUCGGAACGAAGGUUGUUCAAAGCUAUAGUGCAUCCUUCGUCUUCGGCACUUUUUUGCGCCCUGAGGGCAUUGCUAAGAAUCAGGCCCUGCAAAAGAAGUGCGGUAUUAAGUAUAAGCAAAUAAAAAAAAAUUUAAGUACAAAAAACACAUUCUCACACCUUUAAACUAUUAUAUGCUAAGCUGUCGGCCAAUUCAUCUUUCGAUAGCACCGAAAGCCCGUCUUCUAGUGUCGGGAAUCCGAAGCUUCUGCCCAUCUCUCGGCAGACAGCAAUCUCCUUGUUGUCUGGGAGACAAUACAAGAAAUCUUCUUCCCCGUUGCCGUUGAAUAUUAAUGCCCCCUUUGGAUAUUUCAAUUUCUGGGCAUAAUAUUGAGCUUCUCGCUUUUCUUCUUCAGAUAACCUUUUUCCCGAAGCGUGUCGUACAAUAUAAUCAUGUACUUCGGAAGAUGCUUCAGGAGUAGAAGUGACAGUUUUUUCAGGCAGAAUUUGUUUUGCAGCUUCUUUUUUCGUUUCCUUUUCUCCGGUUUCCAAGGAUUUCUCCUUGGCGGGCUUUGAAGGCCCAGCUUCGGUCUCAGCCUGGCUUUUUGCAGCUUCGGCUUCGGUUAGUUUUGUCUCAGUCUGCGUUUUUGAAGCUUCGGCAGUUUUCCCUGGAGUAGAGCUUGUCUUUAUUGUCUCCAGCACAUCUAGUACGUUGACCAUCCUUUUCCUCUUGGGGGUCGCUGUAAGUUCUUUUUGUGCCUUCGGCACUGUCACUUCUGCCGAAGGGCUUAUAACUUCAAUAUUAUCGGCCUUUGGCUCAGCUGAUUUGGCUAAGAGUGCCUUCGGCAUUGCAACCGGCUCUUCAAUCUUCUGCGUAAGCGCAGGUUCUUUGGCUUCAGUAGCCGAAGAGGUCUCACCGCCAAAUUCGGGCACUGUGGCCGGUUCAAUGUAGCACGGUCGGUGAGUAAGAACCUUCACUUUUCUCCUCUUCGGCGCGGGCUCACUCGGAGCAGCUGAAGUAACAUCUUUCCUAGAAGUUGCACUCUUUCUCUUCUGUCCCCUUUGCGGGUAGCGGUAGUCAGGAUACAUAAAUCCGAUAGCAUCAAAAACUCUAUUUAGCCUCUUCUUUUUUCGGCUCCUGAAGGCCGUAGAUAGUGCGUUACCUUCAGACUUGGAGUAGGCUCCAAGCAGUUUAUCGCUGGUGUUUUCAACGCACUUCAGCCAGUCAUCGUCUGGUUCGAUAAAUUGGUCUCCAAACCUGAAGGUAUAUUUUAAUCGAACCAAACCACCUUCGUUAGGGUUGCUGAUGGUCUCUUUUAGCAUCUCCCAGUUGUCUACCAAUGGCCAUAUCUUGUAGGCCACGUGUUCUUGGACUAAGUCCCUUGUCCCGAUGAAAGAGCAAACUAUGCCGAAGGCCUUUCGGCAUCCUUCGGCUGUCUCAUCAACCUCUACCUUCGGUUUUCGGAGACCGAAACGCCGCCAGAUGGGGCGCAUGAUGAUCUCUUUAAUGUCUUCUCGUGUUUUUAAAUCAUUUUUCACAUAGAACCAUUCUUUCAUCCAGUCCCCAGGCCAUCUCUUCCGAAAAGUUGGCACUGGGCAACUUGAGCCAGAACGAGCAACGAAGCUAUAGCAACCAAAAUUGUUAUGAUACUGCUCUUUACCUCAGGGCUUCGUCUCAUAUAAAAGUUCGUGCAUACUGCAGAAACUUUUCGCACUUGGCUCCAAGCCCUGACUCCUUACGGCCCAGACGAAGAUUCCCAUUCUUAUGAUUGCUUUGGGAGUAAUUUGGUGAAGGAAAAUCUGGUAUAUCUUUAAAACCUCAACCAUAUAUCUGCUUAAGGGGAACCGAAGCCCAGCUUUGAAAAAGCUUCGGAAAAUCACGACUUCAUUCUCUUCGGGAACAGGAGAAGUCCUAUCUCCGUUGUUAGCCCUCACAAUAGACAUAUCUCGAAAAUAUCUUCCCCUCAUAUUAUCAAGAUGACUCUGUUUAAUAGUUGAUUUUCCGAAAACUGCAUGACUUGGUCGCCAGGGUCGAUCUUUGGAGUCUUUGCCUCCACUUUCCACAUCAUAACUGUCGCUGUCACCGGUGUCUUCAGAUAAGCCUUCUAAAAUCUCCCUAGUAAUCUUUUCUGUAUUUGUCUUUGCUAUUGAUUCAAUAAAGCCAGCAGUCUUCUCCUUAGAGAGCUUCUCCUCCUCGCUCAGCUUCGUCUCAGCAACAACUUUCUUAUCUUGAGACAUCUCUUCAGAAAUGAUGAAAAUGUGCUCUUAAAACCGAAGCUUAGAAAAUCUAAAAAACCAAGCAAGUGUUGGUAGGCAAGAGCUAAAAAUUGAGCAAGUAGAGCAUACGGCAAAAAAGCGUGCCAAAUGAGCUCGUGGUGUGCUCCUAUUUAUACAUCUAGCACGUUGCAAAAUGGAGGGCCCCGCUUGUCAUUGAUUGUUGCUAUUCUAGCAAAGGGAAGGUGUUUUUUCGGACCUUCGGCUCAAGGCCUUCGUCCAUAUCGCAAUCUGAAUUCGUUAUUCUAACAAAUUAACCUUGCGAGGGGCUACUGUUGGGGGCCUUCGUCUUCCGAAGGUCCUCAAAAACAUGAUUUAACAAUGUUUCUGGAGUAUAAUACAAGAACAGGUACCUUCGGACUCGGAUCAGAACCACAGUGUGAAGAAGCACAAAGGUGAAGGUUGGCGCAGAGCCGAAGCUAUGCGCAAGGGAUCUUCGACAUGAUAGCAGAAAUGGAAACCGACUUAAAGGGGAAAAGGCUAUUUAGACCUCGAUGGAUUACUAUAGAGUCAUUAGCAAAUGUAAAGGGCAUGGGUGUAAUUUUACAUGGGCUGCGUCCUGUGCCUAUAAAUAGAUGAACAGUGCUCCCGUACUGUUCACGUUGACUUGGCAUUUGCUUUUGCGUCACGCUCGUACCUUUGCUGUCUAUGAAGUCGAAGGUACUAAAUGUAAUUCAAUAUUGUUAUUAUUUUCUGAUGAUAAUAUAAUGGAGAUGAAUCGAUAAUACUAUAUGAUUGUUUAUGUUGUCUUUUGUAUUUUACACGCCUCCUUUUACCAUUAUACCUUCGAUGUACGAAGGUAUGUCUUUCAUGACCUUCGUCUGAAGAUCAUUAUAUCCUAAGGGAAAUAAUGUUUCGAAGGACGAAGGACGUUAAUAUUUAACAUUUUAUGUUGCCUUGUUCUUAAUUCAUAGCAUUUGAGAACAAGUCCCCAACAGUGUUCCUACAGAAAAUUUCAUCACAACCCAUUUCCCAAUGAUGCAAGUCACAGAUGACAGUUUGUCACAGUUUAUACUCCAUAUAUUGCUAUAUGGAGGCCAGCUCAUCAUUAAGCGUCGAGCCAUGCAUAGGCGUCGUUGCCACACUUUAACCAUAGGACAACUCAUUAUGGUAACUCACCUUCUUACCUGAGCGUAGGUGCGUCGUUGCGAGUACAUUACACUUCUCAGUAUUCCCACACAUGUAUACCCAUACACACACAUGGGGCACUAAAUUCCCAGAAAAGUAAUUACUCCACAUCGCAGCCUUCAUAUAUACAUAUGUGGAACAUGUAUAUACUCAAACAAUUUUUACACUCUCCCCUAGACCGACGGUUGUUCGGUCAUGCUCUCACAUCUCACCUUACCUUGAGCGUCGAUCCAUUCAAAACUGAAUGGCCUCAAAAAUAACAAUACACAUGUAUGCAAUACCCCCGGUUGUGGGUUAGUGGUUUUGAUCUAAGCCACCUGAUAGUCCUUAACUUAGGGCUUAAUAGAGGAUGUCACUAGCAUUGUAGUUUUUCAAAGCUGUUUUUCAAAACCAAACAAUGUGUUUAGUUGAAAAUAGGUUUUUCGAAACCAAAACUUUUUUUUGAAAAUACGUAUGUGACCAUAGAUACUUAAUCCUGCUCUGAUACCAGCUGUGGCAGAACCUUCCAAGUUAUUGGGCCCACAUGCACCUGUCCUUGUCCCAAAGACCUCAGACGGCUAUGCAUGUGCACCAGAUAACUUAACAGGAUCUGUCCGAGUGCCCCAAGGACCUCGGAUAAACCACUUACAACUAGGAUCACAAGAUUAAGUAAACACAAAUCAUACACCAACAUUUUGUAGCGGAAAUCUUAUUACCAAAUUUUACAAGUUACAUCAAGUUUACAUUGUUUAUCAGAGUGAUUACAGAAGUGGUUCAAAGAAAUAAACUUUGAAAUGUUAUAAAUUGUUUAUAAGUUUGAAAUAUAUGCUAGCUUAAGUGAACAUCAUCAAUAAGAAGUAUAGAAGAAGUACAUAGACUUAUAGAAGGCCAUGCCCACCGACGCUUAACACCAAUCACAAUCAAAGUGAUUCAUAACCUGCAGCAACAAUGGGUAAAACCCUAAGUACGUAAGUACUCAGCAAGACUUACCCGACUAAUGAAAAGGCUCUCAAGGAUAUGCUGGCUUGUCAGGAAUCAAGGUAAGGCUUAUUAAUUUCAAAGACUCAUUUUGCAGAAGAGCUUACUAGUAGUGAGUCCUUAUGCCAAAAUUUUACUUCACAAGUUAAGUACUUUUCCUGAAUCUAGAUUUUCCUAAUCUAGAGCAUUCACUUGUCCUGGUUUAGCUUUCUUUUACCCAAAUUGUUAUUUUACUUAUAAACUACGAUGAGUGGUCAGUGAGUUGAGUCUCCAUGACCGAGGAGCAACGACGAUUCGAACCAAUUAUACCCAGCUGGGGAUCCCUAACCACACAACAUAUGUAGCACUUAACCCUUGCAUAUGUCAACCGUUCCCACAGAUCCUCCACAACGUGAACCGGUCCACGCUACACGGGAGCACAGUACUCCUCCAUCCAGCCUCUAGCCAGGAGGGUACACGCUACUCCCACCAUCACCCACGCCCAGUGCGCGGUUGUCUUUUCACGUAUGGAAUAGCCAGGUUCAGGCUUACCGGAGCAUGUGGUUAGUUGCAAAGUCUCACCUCAUCAUGCCUACAUCGAACGGUCCUUAAUCGACACAGAUGGGCAAACUUUCCCGCUCAACGUCUGGUCCCCACUACAUAUUAUUUCCCAAAACAUGAUACCUGAGAGAGGUACCCUACUUGAAUGAUGAAAUCAUCGCGACCACAAUCGCUUCAUCAUCACAAGUCAUUUUAUUUCACAAACUCCCAUAUCCUGUGAUACACAUCAUAUUUUAAAAAACAAUCCUAAAUUAAUAAGCAGGGCUAAGCAUCACUAAAUUUUCAUAAAACGGGUAUUAGGGUUGUUUAAUCAAGGAAAGAAAUGCAUCAACGGUUUAGCACACAACUCCUAUCAUCUAAUGCAUCAAACAAGGUGAUAAAAGAUUUUAAAACAGCAAGGAGGUGGCAAAUGCACCGGGGCUUGCCUGAAUAACACUAGGUUAGUGUUUGUUAGGCGACGUCCACUUGACGAUCAUCCUUGUCCUAGCACUUGAUCAGGGAGGUUCGUCCUUCAAAAUCACCAUGCGGAUUAGCCCGCGCUUGGGGUCGACUUGGUUUGUUUUCCGUAUCACGCGAUUAUUUAUCGUACCUCAUGAGAUGCACGAUGCACAUGUAUGAGCACGAUUAUAAAUAGUACAAGAUAGAUAAUUUACGCUAAAAAGGAUGAAACACUUAUAACCUAUAACCAAGCAUAUUUUAUACAAUAUACCAAUUACAACUUUAGAACUAAAAGACCUAAAGUGUUUAUACACAUUACUGAUCAGACAAACCCUAGAUUUUGGUUGAAACUGAUAUAUCGAUGUUACUUGAUCCUAAAUAUUCGAAGUAGCAAUCAACAUUCAUUCAAAUCAUGAAAUCGACCAACACAUAGAAUAUCAUACCUAGUUUAGAGAGCACACUAAACAACUUAUAACUUUAACUUCAAAAUUCUUGGACACCUAACACUUAUAAAAUUUGAUAGAACUUUCAUUAACUUUCUAAACUAAUUUAUCGGUUAACCUGUGUAUCAUAUAUAUUAAUAAAACUACCCAUUUUUAACACCUACAACCCCGCAACACUGAGACCUAUUGAGACCUCUUUCAUCCUACGACAUCGACCAAUUUACCAAAACAACUCAGGCAAUCUAAUAAAUAUUAUACCUAGUCAAACCAUCUACCAAUCUACUAACACGGAUAACAAAUUUACUUACCCUGACUAAUUCGACGCGAUAGUCGCAAGCACGACGACAGUUUCCGGUUGACGUCAUUGAUCACACACGUCUGGCGAGCGAGGCAUACAGUUUCCAUUCUUGACCAAAUACCCGUUGUUGGGGGCCUUCGGCUUCCGAAGGUCCUCAAAAACAUGAUUUAACAAUGUUUCUGGAGUAUAUUACAUGAACAGGUACCUUCGGACAUAAGCCAAAACCACAAUAUGAGGAAGCACAAAGAGUACGAAGGAUAGCGCAGAGCCGAAGCUAUGCGCAGAAAAGCUUCGGCAUGGUAGCAGGAAAAGGAACCGACUUAAAGGGGAAAAGGCUAUUUAGACCCCGAUGGAUUACCAUAGAGUUAUUACUAAAUGUAAAGGGCAUGAAUGUAAUUUUACAUGGGCUGCGUCCCGUGCCUAUAAAUAGAUGAACAGUACCCAUACUGUUCACAUUGACUUGUACUUGCUCAUACGUCACACUUGUACUUUUUUACCUUCUGUGAAGCCGAAGGUACAUUUAUAAUUCAGCAUUGUUCCUGUAUUACUAAGAGCAAUAUAUUGUUAAUGAAUUGAUAAUAUUAUGUGAUUAUUCAUCUUGCCUCUUAUAUUUCAUAUGCUUCUUUUAUUAACACAUAUUACAUUAAUGAAGGUGUGUCCUUUAUAACCUUCGUCUGAAGAACAUUAUAUCCUAAGGGAAAUAAUGCUUCGAAGGACGAAGGGACAUUAACAUUUAACAUUCUGUGUUGCCUUGUUCUUAAUUCAUAGCACUUGAGAACAAGUCCCCAACAUUGGCGCCCACCUCCGGUGAACUCACUUCCACUUUUUGAGUUUUGAACACCUUCGGCAAGCAUCAACGUUCGUCAUGCCGCCGAAGAAAGCUUCAGCAACAGGGGCUGCCGCUGCAGCCACUGGAUCCCAAUCAGGAUGCUCUUUCUCUUAGGGAGGCCCGAAACCAGAAGAGGAAGGCCACCAGUCCAAUGCCUCAGGAGGACGACUUGGAUCAAGAAAUCCAAAACUUGGAGAUGCUCCAUCAGCAGGUCCAACGGAAGAAGGAGAAGAUGGCUCGUCUAGCUGACCUGCAAAGGCAGAUAGACGAAGCCUCUGAAGAAGUUCGUCAUCUUGCUCAAGAUGAGCAGAACCGAAGGCCUCCGCACAGAGAGCUUCAUCAGGAGGGCUUCUACAACGAGGACGACUGGUAUGAAGAUUUCCAUCAUGGAAAUUUUGCUUUUGAUGAUACCUUUCCUCUGUCAAACAGAACUGCAGGCUACACCUUGGCCCCAAUCUUACAAGCCACCCCAGCUCCCCAUGUACGACGGACAUUCAGACCUGAAGCAAUUCUUGAUGAGUUAUGAAGCAACCAUAUCUUCGUAUGGUGGCAAUACUGCAGUCAUGGCAAAGUCUUUCGUCAUGGCUAUCAAGAGUGUUGCACAAACCUGGUACUCCUCUCUUCGGCCAGGAACAAUCACCUCAUGGCAGAAGCUGAAGGACAUGCUGAUAACCAGUUUCCAAGGGUUUCAAACGAAGCCGGUCACUGCUCAAGCUUUAUUCCAGUGCACUCAGGACCAUGAAGAAUACCUUCAGGCGUAUGUUCGAAGGUUCCUGCGUCUGAGGGCACAGACACCAACGGUGCCCAAUGAAAUUGUCAUUGAGGCCAUGAUUAAGGGGCUUCGGCCGGGACCUUCAGCCUAAUACUUUGCCAGGAAACCCCCUCAAACUUUGGAGAAGCUGCUCCAGAAGAUGGAUGAGUAUAUUCGAGCUGACAAUGACUUCCGCCAAAGAAGGGAGGAAGCAUACAGGUUCUCUGAAAUGACCAGGGGCUUCAGAGGAAGAAUCCACCCGAGGCACGUCAGGUCAAUUCACAACUCUACUCAGAGUGAUGACAAAGGAAGUCAACAACAGAGGCCACAGUAUUCCUCGCAAGCUUCGGGGCAGCAACAAAGCUCUUUCCGGCCGCCAGCUCCAAGGGGCAGAGGCGCUAGGGGCUUCGGAGGAAGGUUUGGGGAUCAGCCCAGGAAAAUUUAUUGUCUAUUAUGUGGUGAGGACAAGGGCCACACCACCAGGAUGUGCCAUGUUACCAUCCAGAAGCAAAAGGAGAUAGCAGAAGCUGCAGCACAACAGAGUCAGCCGAAGCAAGUCAUGCAUACUGCUUCGUACCAUUCGCCUUACAUUCCAGAGUAUGUAGGCAACCACCCUGCAACUUCUGUUGCUUCGGCAAGCCAACCUCAGGCAUCUUGGCAACAGCCUCCACCUCCACCACCAACGCAACGAGGCCAGUAGCCAGAAGGGAGUCAGCACACUCACCUCCAACGGGACUUCAGAGAAGAGUCCGAAGCUCGCACAGUCAAUAGUACUAUGCCAGAGUCGAAGCAUAUUUACUGACAAAUAUCCUACCCCGACAUCAGCUUUUCGCAUUCAGUAUCAUUUUCUUUUAAUAAGGAACAAUUAUUGGAAGCUUAAGUGCUUUUGGUCGUUUUCAAUCUCUUGUAACAGUUUCGCUUUUUACCAUAAUGAAAAUAUAUCUUCUCCAUAGGCUUAAGUUGUCGAAGCAUAAGAAUCUAUGGUGGCAAGGACAACCUUCGAAUUAUCAAAAAUUUGUUCUAAGGAACGCAGUAUAGGUUCCCCGAAGCAGCAAAAAGUCGUUCAUAACAGAGCGCAGCGUAAGUUUUCUGCUCAAAAGUCAUUCCAAAGGGAAUGCAGAGCUUACAGCGAAAAAUAAACGAUGAUACCACCGAAGUAAAAGGCGAAGAAGCUCCUAAGGGAGGCUUACAACGAAAAAUAAACGCUGAUUCCGCUGAAGUAAAAGGCGAAGAAGCUCCUAAGGGAGGCUUACAGCGAAAAAUAAACGCUGAUACCGCCGAAGUAAAAGGCGAAGAAGCUCCUAAGGGAGGCUUACAGCGAAAAAUAAACGCUGAUUCCGCUGAAGUAAAAGGCGAAGAAGCUCCUAAGGGAGGCUUGCAGUAAAAAAUAAACGUCGAUCUUCGGCAAAUAUCAUUCUGCAUAACAUCAUACCAUCACAUCAUUUGCAUGAGCAUAACAUCAUACAUCAUAUUGCACCAAUGACGCAAGAAGGGGGUUUCAAUGUUGAUAUUCGGAAAUUGUUUCGAAGAAACAGUGCCAAGGCACGAAAAUAAUUAUUGAAGAAGCAUGCCUUCAUCAAAUUCUGAAAUGAAAAGAUCUAUUGGAUACUGAUUUUUAUGAAGAUUGGAUGUUUUUAUGAAAAUACGGAUAUUAUUUACGAAGCAUGAAAAGAAGGGAAGGUGUUUUUUCGCCGAAGGCUCAAAAGACGGUAUGUAUGUAAAGUUUCAUGCAUCGUAAAAAAUUGAACCAUAAAUAGCUUAUAUAUUACAUUCAAAGUUACAAAAUAUUACACAUGUUGUUCAACAAAUAUUACAUUCCAAAUAUUUUUACAAAAACAUCUAAUCUUCCCUUAGAACUACUUCUGCAGCUUCGUUUAGUAGUUGAUCAACAACUUUAUCCAUGAUAGCUUCGGCCAUUUUUCUAAUUUCGUCGUCCCCCUUCGUGUGGGGGUCCGCCGAUGGCUCGGCAGGCUCUGAGGAAGGAGAAAGUACGGAUAUGUUACAAAACGUAAACAAGUUCGAAGUCAAAAAUUACAACAAAGAACCAAAAACUACUAGUCAAUACCUAUUUGCCCUUUGAGAUCCGCACUUUUCUCAGCGGCCUCUGCUACUUUUCUAGCGUCAUGAAUGCCUUUCUCGCUUUUUCGUAUAAUUUCUUGGGCCAUUUCCCGGCCACCAUUGUCCCAGAUGUCGGUGAAAAAUUUUCCACCGACCAGGCUCGCUUCGGCCGAGGGGUCUUUUAUAUCUUCAGAGGAUAAAGUUGCUUCAGAUUGUGCCAAGGAUUUCACAUGGUCACAUCCUUUCCUCUCCAAAAUAGUGGCAAUCCCCCUGGCACCCGAAAAGGCACAUAUGUCUCCACGAGUAUUCAAAAUUUCUUCAAAGGCUUCAGCUUCAUGGCUGAUCCAUCCAAUUGGACCUUCGGGGUCACCUCUUAUGAAGUUCUCCUCACUUGAGAACGCGCCAACGUUGGCGAAGCUGGUUCUUACUUUCUUAACACAUUCCAUAGAUUUUUCAUAGCAUCUUUUCUUGGAUGAUCGAAGCUCUUCAACGUUUUUUUUCCAAAUGAUUUGCCCAUUGUUCACUAAUUUCUCGUUUUGUUUCUUCAAGAGUGUGUUCCUCUUUAGCUCUGGCUAGUUGUUUCCAAAGAUCUUCAAUUUCACGCUUCUGAGCCUCAGCUUGAGCUUUAAAAGUAGCUUCGUCUUCUUUUUAUUCUAUUCACCAAUGAAUGCAAUAUUUUAUCUUUUUCGAGACCUUCGUUCCUUAGUUCAAUUACUUCGGAACGAAGGUUGCUUAGGGCCAUAACACACCCUUCGUCUUCGGCAUCUUUUUGAGCCCUGAGGGCAUUGCUAAGUAUAAGGCCCUGCAAAAAAAAUAUGUGUGUGUGUCAAUAAGAUUAAGCAAAUGAAAAAUUUUGGUUUCAAGAAAUAAUACAAAGACCUCAUUUUUUGCACCUUUAAGCUAUUGUACGCCAAGCUGUCGGCCAGCUCGUUUUUCGACAACACCGAGAGCCAAGCCUCUAAUGUUGGGAAUCCGAAGCUCUUGCCCAUCUCCCGACAGACAGAAAUCUCCUUGCUGUCAGGGAGACAAUACAAGAAGUCUUCUUCUCCGCUGCCGUUGAAUAUCAACACCCCUUUUGGAUAUUUCAGUUUUUGGGCAUAAAACUGAGCCUCUUGCUUUUCUUUUGCAGUCAAUUCUUUCCCCGAGGCAUGUCGUAAAAUAUAAUCGAAAGCUUCGGAAAAUGCUUCGGGGGUGGCAGUGCCAGUUUCUUCAGCCAAAAUUUGUUCUGUUGUUUCUAUUUGUUCGGCUUCCAAGGAUUUCACCUUGGCGGGCUCUGAAGGCCCAGCUUCAGUUUCAGCUUGGUGCUUUGAAGCUUCGGCACUCAAGGCUUCGAUUUGCACUUCGGAAGUCUCGCCAAUUUUCUUCGGAGUAGUGCUUGAAUAGUUUAUUGUCUCCAAUACAUCCAGUACAUUAACCAUUCUUUUUCUCUUGGGGUCGUCAUCGGCAUUGGCAUUGGCACCUCAAUUUUUGUUGAAGGACUUAGAAUUUCCGAUGUCUUUGUUUCUUCAGCCCUCGGUUCUUCUAUUUUUUCCGUCGCCGGCACUUUGGCCAGCCCUUCAAUAUUCGGCAGGAGAGUUGGCUCUUUGGCUUCGGUGGUCGAAGAGGUCUCACCGACAAACUCAGGCACUGUGGCCGGUUCAAUAUAGCGUGGCCGGUGUGUGAGAACCUUCAUCUUUUUCCUCUUCGGCGCCGGCUCGCUAGGAGCGGCUGAAGCAACCUCCUUCGCAGAAGAUGUAUUCUUUCUUUUUUGACCUCAUGUUGGAUAACAGUAGUUGGGGUAGACAAACCCAAUUGCAUCAAAUACUCGUUUGAGUCUUUUCUUCUUUCGGCCUCCGAAGGCCGCUGAUAGUGCAGUGUCUUCGGCCUUCGAGUAUGAUCCAAGCAGUUCAUCACUUAUGGCCUCAAUACUUUUCAGCCAGUCAUCAUCUGGCUCGACGAAUUUAUCUCCGUAUUUGAAUGUGUAUUUUAGCCUAACUAGUCCACCUUCGUCAGGUUCCCUGACGGUUUCCUUCGGCAUUUCCCACUUUUCUGCAAGUGGCCAUACUCUGAAGGCAAUGUGUUCUUGGAUCAAAUCCCUUGUCCCAAUAAAAGAGCAAAUCACGCCAAAGGCUCUCUGGCAUUCUUCGGCUGCUUCAUCCAUUUCCACCUUCGGCCUCCGGAGGCCGAAGCGUUGCCAGAUAGGGCGCAUAAUGAUAUCUUUAAUAUCUUCCCGUGUUUUCAAAUCAUUUUUCACAUAAAACCAUUCCGUCAUCCAGUCGCCGGGCCAUCUCUUUUGAAAGGUUGGCACGACACAGCUUGACCCAGAUCGGGUACCGAAGCUGUAGCAGCCAAAAUUGUUGUGAUACUGCUCUUUACCCUAGGAUUUUGUCUCAUACAAUAGCUCAUGUAUGUUGCAGAAACUUUUUGCAUUUGGUUCUAAACCUUGGCUCCUCACGGCCCAGACGAAGAUGCCCAUCCUUAUGAUUGCUUCGGGAGUAAUUUGAUGAAGGAAGAUUUCAAAUAUCUUCAGUACUUCUACCACGAAGUUGCUCAAAGGAAACCGAAGCCCAGCCUUGAAGAAACUUCGGAAUAUCAUGACUUCAUUCUCCUCAGGAGUCGGACAAGUUUUCUUUCCUUCGUCAGCCCUUACAGUAGAUAAAUCCUGAAAAUAUCUACCCCUCAUACUAACAAGAUGGCUUUGUUUAAUGCUUGAUUUUCCAAAAACUGCAUGGUUUGGUCGCCAUGGUCGAUCUUCGGAACCUUCACCACCACUAUCCACAUCAUAACUGUCACUAUCACCAGUGUCUUCAGAUAAACCCUCUAAAAUCUCCCUAGUAAUUUUCUCUGUAUUUGUCUUUGCUAUUGAUUGAAGAAAGCCGAGAUGCAUCUCCUCAGAAAGGCUUAGCUUCGACCCAGCAACAGCUUUCUUAUCUUCAGACAUCUUCGAAAAUGCUGAGAAAGUGCUCUCGAGACCGAAGCUUAAAAAUUUUAAAAGCCAAGCAAGUGUUGUUGCGCAAGGGCUAAAAGUCGAGUGAGCAAGAGCAGAGGGCAAGAAAGCGUGCCAAAUGAACUCGUGGUGAGCUCUUAUUUAUACACCUAGUACGUUGAAAAUUGGAGGGUCCCGCUUGUCAAUGACUGUUGCUAUUCUAGCAAAGGGAAGGUGUUUUUUCAGACCUUCGACUUAAGGCCUUCGUCCAUGUCGCAAUAUGAAUUUAUCACUAAUAAAUUAAUAUUGCGAGGGGCUACUGUUGGAGGCCUUCGGCUUCCGAAGGUCCUCAAAAACAUGAUUUAACAAUGUUUCUGGAGUAUAUUACAUGAACAGGUACCUUCGAACAUAAGCCAAAACCACAAUAUGAGGAAGCACAAAGAGUACGAAGGAUAGCGCAGAGCCGAAGCUAUGCGCAGAAAAGCUUCGGCAUGGUAGCAGGAAAAGGAACCGACUUAAAGGGGAAAAGGCUAUUUAGACCCCGAUGGAUUACCAUAGAGUUAUUACUAAAUGUAAAGGGCAUGAAUGUAAUUUUACAUGGGCUGCGUCCCGUGCCUAUAAAUAGAUGAACAGUACCCGUACUGUUCACAUUGACUUGUACUUGCUCAUACGUCACGCUUGUACUUUUUUACCUUCUGUGAAGCCGAAGGUACAUUUAUAAUUCAGCAUUGUUCCUGUAUUACUAAGAGCAAUAUAUUGUUAAUGAAUUGAUAAUAUUAUGUGAUUAUUCAUCUUGCCUCUUAUAUCUCAUAUGCUUCUUUUGUUAACACAUAUUACAUUAAUGAAGGUGUGUCCUCUAUAACCUUCGUCUGAAGACCAUUAUAUCCUAAGGGAAAUAAUGCUUCGAAUGACGAAGAGACAUUAACAUUUAACAUUCUGUGUUGUCUUGUUCUUAAUUCAUAGCACUUGAGAACAAGUCCCCAACACCCGUGGGAUUCCUUUUUGUCG
rnacentral:lncRNA from 1 species